GAGGGGUGCCUGCUGUACAGCAGGCACUGCUGUACAGCCAAAAGGGCAAAAAGAAAAGAAAAAAAAAACAAAAAUAUCUGAAGCCCCUUAUUUUUCCAUUCACGGCACAGCCUGCUGUGCUUAAAGCACAGCAGGCACCCCUUGUCCACCAUACCUAGCA